CCUACGGGAGGCAGCAGUGAGGAAUAUUGGUCAAUGGACGAGAGUCUGAACCAGCCAAGUAGCGUGAAGGAUGACUGCCCUAUGGGUUGUAAACUUCUUUUAUAUGGGAAUAAAACGUUCCAAGUGUGGGAUUUUGUAUGUACCAUAUGAAUAAGGAUCGGCUAACUCCGUGCCAGCAGCCGCGGUAAUACGGAGGAUCCGAGCGUUAUCCGGAUUUAUUGGGUUUAAAGGGAGCGUAGGUGGAUUGUUAAGUCAGUUGUGAAAGUUUGCGGCUCAACCGUAAAAUUGCAGUUGAAACUGGCAGUCUUGAGUACAGUAGAGGUGGGCGGAAUUCGUGGUGUAGCGGUGAAAUGCUUAGAUAUCACGAAGAACUCCGAUUGCGAAGGCAGUUCACUGGACUGCAACUGACACUGAGGCUCGAAAGUGUGGGUAUCAAACAGGAUUAGAUACCCGAGUAGUC
rnacentral:rRNA from 1 species